rnacentral:rRNA from 1 species
UACGUAGGGUGCGAGCGUUGUCCGGAAUUACUGGGCGUAAAGCGCGUGUAGGCAGUCUUGCAAGUCGGGUGUGAAAGCCCUGGGCUCAACCUAGGAAGUGCACUCGAAACUGCAGGACUGGAGUCCUGGAGAGGAAGGCGGAAUUCUCGGUGUAGAGGUGAAAUUCGUAGAUAUCGAGAGGAACACCGGUGGCGAAGGCGGCCUUCUGGACAGUGACUGACGCUGAGACGCGAAAGCGUGGGGAGCAAACAGG